GUGUGGAUAAAAUAAAACCCAAAACUAAUUUUUAAAAAAACAUAUUUUACAGCCACUGAUGAUCGCCGGCCCCCUUAUGAGCCUCUCUUUAAGUUGUCUUGCCACAAUUUCAGAUUUUACAGCCACUGAUGAUCGCCGGCCCCCUACGAGCCUCUCUUAAAAUUGUCUUGCCACAAUUUCAGGUAAAUGUUUCCAAAAAGUUUGACUAACGUUCAAUUUUUAUGCAUACUUCUUCUUACUACUGAAAAUUGUUAAAAGUUUAAAGUGUUACUAUUAAGUUGAACUAUAUUACUGUUUCUUCUGUUUUGUGAUCUUUUCUAUUUGGCCGAUUGUCUGUUCAAAUUACAUAAAAUAUUUUAUUUUGUACAAGUGUAUUUGUUAGAUUUAAUAAAUAUUUUUUACUAUUUCA